AAGAAAGAAAGAAAGUCCUCACAUUGAUGGAGGUGUGCCAAAGGUACACCAGAGCCAACUAAAAGCACUCCCAAUGGCCAAAACGAACAAUUUGAAUAAUAACAUAAAUAAGGAGUACUGGAUUAUAACCCCAAGUAUAAAAUAAAUAUCCAUGAUCCCAUAGUGAUAUAAGAUGAUUGAAUUAAUUAAUUAUUGGGGAAGAAGAAACAAAUCUCCUUUGCAGAAGGGUUCCAAAUAAUGCACACAGCUACUUGGUUCUCAAGGUGGAGCGAGAAUCCCUAGUCCUUAAGAAUGGGCUGUGCACAGUGACUUCCUCCAGAAAGGUGGGCAGAGAAGGGGAAAAGGAACUAACUUUCCAGCGGAGAAACCUGACAAACUCCCCCUCAGCCAGAUGGCCGAGGUCAACAUCUGUCCACCGUGCAAAAUCUGAUUGAGAGCAGAAACUUCAAAACGAAUUGAAGAAAAGAAGGAUAACAAUGACGGUCACUGGACUCGAGUGUCCUGCCUAAGGAGUGGCUCGUUUUGCUGCCUUGAAUCCUGGCUUCUGAAGCUGCAUCCCUCUGUACAGAAUGAGCAUGGUGACAACAGCAGCAGUCCCCCAGCGCGAUGACAGGGAGUAAACACAAUUACCCGUGAUUAGUAAGCGUUUAAAAAAGUUACCUGUUUUUCUUAUUAGUCAGCUUCUGACUUAAACAUGGAUGGAGUUCCAAAAGUUUCUUGUACAUUCAGUUGUUUGAAUUAGAACAUAUUGCCACAUAAAGAAUAUUAGACAUUGUAUUUAAUUACCCGUGAAGACUCUUACUGUGUCGCUGGCAGAGUAUGGACUUAGAUUUGCAGGAGGCGCUGCAGGAUGGGGGUGGGGGCAGAGCACCGUUUGCUCUACCCCAGUGAUGCUCCCCUUGGGGGAUUAAGUCCAAGAGCCCUCAAGCUGCCUUAAGCCCCUUUUCUAUGGGAGGUUUUCUGCUUCAGUGUUACCCUCUUCCUGCAGUAGUAAUUAAAUAUUCAGUGCCCCUGGCAGUUGUCCAAGCCUUAAAAAACAAACAAUCCUCUUCUCCCCACCAGCCUUGUCCUCUGUGUCCUGCAUCCAA